rnacentral:rRNA from 1 species
UACGGAGGGGGCGAGCGUUAUUCGGAAUUAUUGGGCGUAAAGGGCGCGUAGGCGGCUGAACAAGUCAAAGGUGAAAUCCCUCGGCUCAACUGAGGAACUGCCUUUGAAACUGUUCGGCUUGAGGCCGGGAGGGGGUAGCGGAAUUCCCAGUGUAGCGGUGAAAUGCGUAGAUAUUGGGAGGAACACCAGUGGCGAAGGCGGCUACCUGGACCGGUUCUGACGCUGAGGCGCGAAAGCGUGGGGGAGCAAACAGG